GACGAACGCUGGCGGCGUGCUUAACACAUGCAAGUCGAACGGUAAGGCCCUUCGGGGUACACGAGUGGCGAACGGGUGAGUAACACGUGGGUGAUCUGCCCUGCACUUCGGGAUAAGCCUGGGAAACUGGGUCUAAUACCGGAUAGGACUCCGGACUGCAUGGUCUGGGGUGGAAAGCUUUUGCGGUGUGGGAUGGGCCCGCGGCCUAUCAGCUUGUUGGUGGGGUGAUGGCCUACCAAGGCGACGACGGGUAGCCGGCCUGAGAGGGGGACCGGCCACGCUGGGACUGAGAUACGGCCCAGACUCCUACGGGAGGCAGCAGUGGGGAAUAUUGCACAAUGGGCGCAAGCCUGAUGCAGCGACGCCGCGUGAGGGAUGACGGCCUUCGGGUUGUAAACCUCUUUCAGCAUCGACGAAGCGAAAGUGACGGUAGGUGCAGAAGAAGGACCGGCCAACUACGUGCCAGCAGCCGCCGUAA
rnacentral:rRNA from 1 species